GGAAGGUGCCGCCGAAUGGACGGCAAGCGGCCUUGAAAGCCGUGGUACGGGUUAACUGUAGAAGUUCGAUUCUUCCACCUUCCU
rnacentral:tRNA from 1 species